UACGUAGGGUGCAAGCGUUAAUCGGAAUUACUGGGCGUAAAGCGUGCGCAGGCGGUUUUGUAAGUCUGACGUGAAAUCCCCGGGCUCAACCUGGGAAUUGCGUUGGAGACUGCAAGGCUAGAAUCUGGCAGAGGGGGGUAGAAUUCCACGUGUAGCAGUGAAAUGCGAAGAGAUGUGGAGGAACACCGAUGGCGAAGGCAGCCCCCUGGGUCAAGAUUGACGCUCAUGCACGAAAGCGUGGGGAGCAAACAGG
rnacentral:rRNA from 1 species